UACGUAGGGCGCAAGCGUUACCCGGAAUUAUUGGGCCUAAAGCAUCCGUAGCCGGUUCUACAAGUCUUCCGUUAAAUCCAACUGCUUAACAGGUGGGCUGCGGAAGAUACUAUAGAGCUAGGAGGCGGGAGAGGCAAGCGGUACUCGAUGGGUAGGGGUAAAAUCCGUUGAUCCAUUGAAGACCACCAGUGGCGAAGGCGGCUUGCCAGAACGCGCUCGACGGUGAGGGAUGAAAGCUGGGGGAGCAAACCGG
rnacentral:rRNA from 1 species